UACGUAGGGUGCGAGCGUUGUCCGGAAUCACUGGGCGUAAAGGGCGCGUAGGCGGCCUGAUAAGUAGGGGGUGAAAUCCUGCGGCUUAACCGCAGGGCUGCCUUCUAAACUGUCAGGCUAGAGCACGGUAGAGGCAGAUGGAAUUCCCGGUGUAGCGGUGGAAUGCGUAGAGAUCGGGAAGAACAUCAGUGGCGAAGGCGGUCUGCUGGGCCGUUGCUGACGCUGAGGCGCGACAGCGUGGGGAGCAAACAGG
rnacentral:rRNA from 1 species